rnacentral:lncRNA from 10 species
CUUUCUUGCUGCAUCCUAUCAGGUGGUGCAUGAUUUGUCCCUUUACUGAUGAUGAUGUUCACUUUGAUCACAUGAUUAAGGUGUUGUCAGUCAGACUUCUUCAUUGUGCAGUUACACUUUUCCCUUUGAAAUUCCAACAGGAGAGGAUUAACAAUUCAAAUGGGAAUGAGGAAAAGUUUCUCUCAGACGAUGGGAAGAAGAAAAGUUUGAUUGGGGAUCCUGAACUUUCCUCAGCCUGAAGCACACUGUUACACACUUGGCGUCUCUGAGGUCUGGAUGGGAGAAAAAUUUUAAGAGGAAAAGGAUUUAUUUUAUAUUAUUUUGGUCUGUCUCUCUGAGAUCAGGACUAGUUGUACACAUUUGUAGAAUAUACAACUAUGUACGGAUAUCUCAAAAAAUAGUCAUCACUUGCAUAAUGACUGAUGCCUGAAUUUGAUCAGGGCUAACACUUCUAGCCAUUAUCCAAUAAAGGUCCAGAAACCCAGUAUUAAAUAAAAUUGGGGAAAGGAAGGACAGUGUGAGGGUGUGGAGAUAAUAUGGUUUGGCUGUGUCCCCAUCCAAAUCUCAUUUUGAAUUCCUAUGUGUUAUCGGAGGUACCGAGUGGGAGGUAAUUGAAUAAUGGGAGCAGGUCUUUCCUGUGCUGUUCUGUUACAGUGAAAAAGUCUCAUGAGGUACGUUGGUUCUACCAGGGGGAAUUUCCCUGAACAAUCUCUCUCUCUUUGCCUGCCACCAUCUACGUAAGAUGUGACUUGCUCCUCCUUGCCUUCUGCCAUGAUUGUGAGGCCUCACCAGCCAUGUGCAACUGUAAGUCCAAUAAACAUCUUUCUUUUGUAAAUGGGCCAGUCUUGGGUAUGUCUUUCUCGGCAGCAUGAAAACGGAGUAAUUAAUGCAGGAGCCCUGGGAGAUGAGGGGAUGAGAGGGAAAAAGAUCUCUGUAGGGUUAGUUAUUACAAAUUAGAAAUAGAAUUCUAUAUCUAUAUAGAGGGUAAAUGGUCCAUUGUACCAUUUUGCUGAUAAAAGGAGGUAUUUAUGUUAGAUUCAGUUGGAAUUUUUGAGAAAGUGAAGAUUCUGGAUGGAGUGACAGAAUUUCCUUGUUCUUAAGAAGAAGAGCAUAUAAUUUUGCAUGAGCUCUGGUAUUGUUUUAGCAGGAUAUAGAAAUGAACCUUUGAACUUCUCAGAAUCCUUUUCUGAUAUGUGAUUUAUAUAUAUUAAUUUAUUUUCUAUGACUCUUUUCUGUGUACCACCUUCUUAACCAGGAGUGGCUUUGAUGCUGGAUUUCCAACCCCCAUGUAAUCAACUCCAUCUCAUUUUCUAUCACCACAUUGAGGAAACUCAUAGUGAGGGCUCCACAGACUAUCCUCUAGAUAACGAGUAAGAAGAAAACUCCUCCCAGAGGAAGAGUACAGAAAUGAUAAACUUGACCCAGUAAGAAUAUAUGGGAGAUUUGAGAGGAGGAGUAAUUCUGGGUACAGUCUGGUGUUGGCCACUUGGGUUAGCCCUCCACUUCUCCAAUCUCAGGACAUGUGAAUCUCUCACUUGCUCAGUGGAUCCCAGGCACAUCUCCAGAAUAUAUCAAGUUUUUUCUUCACUCAAAGAUUCCAUAAUUACUGCUCCUUUUCCCUGAAACCUUUUUCUAUAUGAUCCUCUCAAGACUAAUUCUUGAAGUUUAGGGUGGAGCUAAAAUGUCCCCUCUUGAGGAAAGACUUCCUUCCUUCCUUCUAAAAAGCCACACUCCUCUCACGCAUUCUUCUCCCUAUCACAUUCACAUGUUUUGUUUUCUUCUUGGUUUCGUCAUUCUCUGAAAUGUCCUCGUUUACUCUUUUACUUGCUUACUAUUUGUCUCUCCCACUUGGAUGCAAGCUCCACGUGAACAGGAACAUUGUUUGUUGCUAUGUCCUCACCACCUAGAAAAGGGCCAAGUGCAUAGUAGAAACAGAGUAAGUAUAUGUUGAAUUAAUAAAUAAACUAAGAGUCCUGUGGAUCACAACUCCAAAAUGGCCCCUGUCUUAUCCUCUCAUGCUUCCCCUGAAGGCAGAGACUGGGGGAAAACUGGUAUGCAGAGGGUUUAGGGAUGUGAUCAUAGAAGGCAGGCAUGAGAGACAGGAGUGAAAACAGGGGAGGUAGGGGAGGCCUUCAGAAAGGUAUGUUACUGAUUUGGCCACUGCUACAAUCAACUGGUAAUUGACUCUGAAAAAGUUUCUGAGGAGCUGGAUAAAAUAAAACUCAGAAACGUUCAUCUAAAAGAGGCGAGGGGGAAAUAAUGAUACGUGGGCAAUUGUGCCCCAUUCUUUGGCCAACAGUUGCCCCAGGGGACAUGAAAUCUUCUGUAUUUUGCAUGGCAUGUGAGUGAGUGCCCAGUUGUUCCCUGAGGGAUCCCAGGGAGUAGAAGAUGGGCAGUACAGACUGAGUUGAAGUACUGCCAGGUGACACUGUUUGAAGCUGGUUGAAGCUUGCCUGAUUCUGGUCCCUGCCAUGGCUAGAGAAAAGAUGAGGCCAUGGGGAUUUAAGUAAUGCACAAGAGGUAUGCAAAGUUCAUUUCAAACUCUAGCCCCUUUGAGAAGUAAUUGACCCAUUAAAUUAUUUCACCAGCCAUCGCCUCACACCAUUGCAUUCUUGCUCAUCUGAAGGGAUCAGGCAUGAUGUAUCCUUCAGUUUCAUUCCCUAAUAUAUUCCCGCCACAACUACAUUUGGUGGUUCUCAGACAUCCUUGCUGCUUUGGCUCCCAUAGGGCAUGGAAACUCAGUUUUCGCUUCUCUGACCAUUUUAACCAAUGGCAGGCACAAUUCAUAACUUUGGACCUACUAUUUCUUGGCAUCUGGCACCAGAAUCCAGGCUCAUGAUUUCCUAAAGGCUUUCACAAAAGUGCAGGUGGGUGUCUUCUUGUCUCUCUCUUUUCCUAUCUUCUCUCCCAGGGUCCCUGCAGAGCUUUGUAGAUGACUAGUUAGCUCUCAGAGCAGAAUGAUGCAUUUUGCAGAGGAGUUUGCAGAAGCAUUGUCAAAACAGGUGUUUAUUCUACAAUCUGGAAGAAAAUUGCAAGAUGCAAGAUGCAAUGUAUUUUGACCCUGCAGUUUGUUGAGUAAAGUUUUUUUUUAUUUCCCCCUACCUAGACACAUGAUAAAUGAGAUAACUUAUUUCUUCUGGUCCCUCAGUGGACAAUAUGAUAACCAUUCCUUGACAGCAAGCAACAUGCUAUUUCUUUUGGCGUGUGUUUUGUCAAAAUAUGUUACCCUGGGAGAUUCUCCUGAGUCUCAGAUUUUUAUUUUCAGAGUACUUUUUACUGAUAUCCCUAAUUCUACCUGAAAUGUCUGAAGUCAUCUGGGGGCCUUCGGAACAUGUAGAGGGAAAUGGAUGCUUUAUAGAUCUUAGAAUUCUUGUGGACCUGAGAUCUAAUAACAUCCCCUGUUCUCCACUCAAUAACUUCCAUUAUAGUCUCACAUUCAGGAUAGGGGUCUGACUCAUUUGUCUGGAGGGUGCUCUGGGCUUAGUGGUAGGUAUUAAGAAUAGCAGUAGACUAUCAUUGCAGUUGCUCCCCAGUGCCCUUAGUAUAAUAUCUAGACAUUUUUCUGUGUAUAAGUUCUUUCAUUUCUAACCUGUAUUUACUUAUGUAGCCUUAAUUUUUCUUAUUACUCACUUUGCACUCUGACCUUUAGCUGGACCAUGUGGUUUUUUUCAAAUUCCCUGUCUUCUGUCUCCUGAGAAUUUUCUUCUGCUUCUCUUCACCUUAGUAAUUAGUCUUCAUCCUCCACCCGUGUUAUUGAGUCUCCAAUCUGAAUUUUCCUAUUGUGUCUUGCUUCCAUAGCAUUUAUUCUUUCUGUGUUUCAAGACAGAAUCUCAGGGAACUUUACCUUAAGGGGGAUAUUUUAGUUAUCUGCUCAGAAAUUAGGGUGAAGUAUAAAAGAAGUCCCUAGCUUUUUAUCUAUUAAGGUUUAAGUAAUGGAAGUCUCAUAUUUAGUCUAGUUCAAGGCUUGGCAAACUUUUAUUUACUGCAAAGAACCAGAGAGUAAAUAUUUUAGGCUUUAUAGGACAAAUACUAUCUCUGUCUCUCUGUCACUUUUUUUUUUUUUUUUUUACAAUCUGUGAAAAAUGUAAAUGUCAUUCUUACAUUUUAGGCUUUGGGACACCUUUGGUUCACAGGCAAAUUACAGCCUGAAAGCUAAGAGUUCAUCCCCUAACUGUUAGGACUCUAGUUACUAGUACUGUAGAUAAUAAAACAUCAAAAUAUUGCCAAGGAUCCCAUGAGAUUAUGAAGAACAAAUAGGUCUGCUGAACAAUGAACCUGCAUUUUCAGGCUCAAUUAUCUUCACAUCUAAUAAUGUCCCAGUAGCUUAUUAGAGGAUGUUGGUUGUUAUUACAAUGGUGAGGAAAAUUUGAUGAAAGUGUGCUUAAUUAUAUAUAAAGCUUCGUAAACAUUUGUUCCUUUGAACUAGUAUUAAGCGGUCUUGUAAAUCUGCCCGUAAUGUUGGUGGACAUCACGUGGUUGAUAUACUUAACCAAGUUUCUGUUUUCCAGAAUCAUUUCUGCUUUUGUUUCUUAUUCUGGCUCCCAAGAAGACACAACAAUUCAGGCAAGUGAAGAAGAGGUAGUACUUUGAAGCCCAGAAGGUAGUAAGGGAGAUAUAUGACUGUGGCAAAGAUUGAUAAGCUAGUCAUUGAAUGUCAGCACCAGAAGGUAACUUAGUGACUAUCUGGUUGGAGGAAAUAAAGCUCAGAUUUUAACAUGAGUGGCUGGCUGAGCUGGAACUGGGGUCCAGGCUCCAUGACUCCAAGCCAUGGGUUCUUUACACCUCAUUGCAUUGCCUCUCCUGUCUUUUUUGUUUUUUUUGUGGUUUUCCAAUAAAAUGUAUGAAAUUUAUUAUCAGAAAAAUAACAACAAAUGUGGAGAAAAUUAUGUUGCAUAACAUCAGAUUAUUAUUACUUCCAAACGUGUUCGUCCUUUAUAGCAUCUUUUACUCAAUACCACGCAACAAGGUUGUUAGAAAGCAAAUGGAGUGGCUGGACUUUGUAAUAAAUUAAAAGUCUGGUUGAUUCCUUUGCACUACUCCCGGCUUGUUCUCAGGUGAGUUACUUGGUUUCACUGUUUUUCCGGCUACCCUUCUGAAGAGGACUUGGAGGUAAUUGACACAUCCCUGAGGAAAAUUAAGUUGGGAUAGAGCCGAAAUUCCUUUCAACAACCACUAUUCUCGGUAGCACCAGUUGGUGGACAGUUCCCAGUCUUUUUAGUGUCAAACUCCUGGAGCAUUGAAUUUCCUGCAGGCAAUUCCUGUCGUUUUCAUGGAUGCCUUUUUGGAGUUCCGAAGUCAGUUGGCAGUCAGGGUGGUGGGCAGGAAAAGGGGAAGUGAAAUCAGCAAUGUCCAGUUCUAGGCGAGUUCUGUUUCUAGCUAUAAAUUAUAGAUGACACCAGUAUUUAUCUCGUGGAGGGGUUGUAAAGAUUGAAUGAGAUAAUGCACUAAAAGCACUUGGCAUAUAGUAAGUGUACAAUAAAUAUUUACUAUUAGCAGCAUAGUAGUACAUUGCAGCCAUCUCUUAAUCUAAGGGUUUAAGGGGAAUAACAUGGCAAUUUCAGGUAGGAGAAAAAAUUAAGAUGAGAAAACCCAAAAUACGUAAUAACCAUGAUGAUGAUGGCAAAGACAGAGAGGCCCUAAGAGAUUAAGUGUUCUCUACAUCUUGAUAUUUGAGGACGUUGUAAAUCUCAGAGGAGUUAGAUACCUUUCCCAAAUUCACAACUGAUAAACGACAGAGCCAGAAUCAAAAUGGACUCUUCUAACACUUACAUUUGCUCUCCUAACCACCACACUUUUCUGCCACUCCUCCAUAAAAUGGAAAUAAUCUUUGUUCUUAAUCCACAGAGUUAUUUACAGGUUCAAAUGGGAUUAACACAAGUUCCAGAGUCAGAUGAUCAAGGCUCCAUUCCUAGUGCCAGUAUUUACUAUAGUUAUAAUUUGGAACAUAUAUUUAUUUUACUUUAUUUUAUUAUUGUUAUACUUUAAGUUUUAGGGUACAUGUGCAUAACAUGCAGGUUUGUUACAUAUGUAUACAUGUGCCAUGUUGGUGUGCUGCACCCAUUAACUUGUCAUUUAGCAUUAGGUAUAUCACCUAAUGCUAUCCCUCCC